UACGUAGGGGGCAAGCGUUGUCCGGAUUUAUUGGGCGUAAAGAGCGUGUAGGCGGCUUGGUAGGUCCGCUGUGAAAACUCGAGGCUCAACCUCGAGAUGUCGGCGGAAACCACUUGGCUAGAGUCCGGAAGAGGAGAGUGGAAUUCCUGGUGUAGCGGUGAAAUGCGCAGAUAUCAGGAAGAACACCUAUGGCGAAGGCAGCUCUCUGGGACGGUACUGACGCUGAGAUACGAAAGCGUGGGGAGCAAACAGG
rnacentral:rRNA from 1 species